rnacentral:tRNA from 1 species
GGCCCCUUGGGGUAGUUUGGAUAUCCUUCGACCAUGCGGAGGCUUAGCCCCGUGUUCGAAUCGCGGAGGGGCCGCCA